UGGAGAAAAGAGGGGACAUUAUGAAAGGAGAGAGGUAAAACAGAGUAUGGAGAAAAGAGGGGACAUUAUGAAAGGAGAGAGGUAAAGAGAGUAUGGAGAAAAGAGGGGACAUUAUGAAAGGAGAGAGGUAAAGAGAGUAUGGAGAAAAGAGGGGACAUUAUGAAAGGAGAGAGGUAAAAGAGAGUAUGGAGAAAAGAGGGGACAUUAUGAAAGGAGAGAGGUAAAACAGAGUUUGGAGAAAAGAGGGGACAUGAAAGGAGAGAGGUAAAGAGAGUAUGGAGAAAAGAGGGGACAUUAUGAAAGGAGAGAGGUAAAACAGAGUAUGGAGAAAAGAGGGGACAUUAUGAAAGUAGAGAGGUAAAGAGAGUAUGGAGAAAAGAGGGGACAUUAUGAAAGGAGAGAGGUAAAAGAGAGUAUGGAGAAAAGAGGGGACAUUAUGAAAGGAGAGAGGUAAAGAGAGUAUGGAGACAAGAGGGGACAUUAUGAAAGGAGAGAGGUAAAAGAGAGUAUGGAGAAAAGAGGGGACAUUAUGAAAGGAGAGAGGUAAAGAGAGUAUGGAGAAAAGAGGGGACAUUAUGAAAGGAGAGAGGUAAAGAGAGUAUGGAGAAAAGAGGGGACAUUAUGAAAGGAGAGAG
ensembl:lncRNA